UUAAAAAUAAGCUAAAUAAAGCUUUUGGGUUCAUACCCCAACUAUAGAGAAUACCUCUUUUUUAAA
rnacentral:tRNA from 1 species